GACGAACCGCGCGAACGUUGUUCGGAAUCACUGGGCUUAAAGGGCGCGAAGGCGGGCUGUCAAGUCUGGGGUGAAAUCCCGCGGCUCAACCGCGGAACUGCCUCGGAUACUGACGGUCUCGAGGGGGAUAGGGGCGAGCGGAACUGAUGGUGGAGCGGUGAAAUGCGUUGAGAUCAUCAGGAACUCCGGUGGCGAAGGCGGCUCGCUGGAUCCCUGCUGACGCUGAGGCGCGAAAGACAGGGGAGCAAACGGG
rnacentral:rRNA from 1 species